UGGGGAAUAUUGCACAAUGGGCGAAAGCCUGAUGCAGCAACGCCGCGUGAGUGAUGAAGGCCUUCGGGUUGUAAAGCUCUGUCUUCUGGGACGAUAAUGACGGUACCAGAGGAGGAAGCCACGGCUAACUACGUGCCAGCAGCCGCGGUAAUACGUAGGUGGCAAGCGUUGUCCGGAUUUACUGGGCGUAAAGGAUGCGUAGGCGGAUACUUAAGUCAGAUGUGAAAAUCCCGGGCUUAACUUGGGAACUGCAUUUGAAACUGGGUAUCUAGAGUGCGGGAGAGGACAGUGGAAUUCCUAGUGUUGCGGUGAAAUGCGUAGAGAUUAGGAAGAACACCAGUGGCGAAGGCGACUUUCUGGACCGUAACUGACGCUGAGGCAUGAAAGCGUGGGGAGCAAACA
rnacentral:rRNA from 1 species